rnacentral:rRNA from 1 species
UACGUAGGGGGCAAGCGUUGUCCGGAUUUAUUGGGCGUAAAGAGCGUGUAGGCGGCCGUACAGGUCAGCUGUGAAAACUCGAGGCUCAACCUCGAGACGUCGGGUUGAAACCGUCUGGCUAGAGUCCGGAAGAGGAGAGUGGAAUUUCCGGGUGGAGCGGUGAAAUGCAUUGAGAUCGGAAAGAACACCAACGGCGAAAGCACUCUGCUGGGCCGACACUGACACUGAGAGACGAAAGCUAGGGGAGCAAAUGGG